AGAACGAACGCUGGCGGCAUGCCUAACACAUGCAAGUCGAACGCUCUUGGGAUUUCGGUCUCAAGGGAGUGGCGCACGGGUGAGUAGCGCGUGGGAACCUGCCCUGUUGUGGGGGAUAACCGAGGGAAACUUCGGCUAAUACCGCAUGCGCCCCCGGGAGUGAUCCUGGGGGGAAAGAUUUAUCGCAGCAGGAGGGGCCCGCGUCGGAUUAGGUAGUUGGUGGGGUAACGGCCCACCAAGCCUGUGAUCCGUAGCUGGUCUGAGAGGAUGAUCAGCCACACUGGGACUGAGACACGGCCCAGACUCCUACGGGAGCAGCAGUGGGGAAUAUUGGACAAUGGGCGCAAGCCUGAUCCAGCAAUGCCGCGUGAGUGAUGAAGGCCUUAGGGUUGUAAAGCUCUUUCGCCCGCGACGAUGAUGACGGUAGCGGGAGAAGAAGCCCCGGCUAACUUCGUGCCAGCAGCCGCGGUAA
rnacentral:rRNA from 1 species